rnacentral:lncRNA from 10 species
UUGAAAUGGGAAUAUGCAUGCUACAAGUAACUGAUGUGUGUAUUUAGGGACAUAAUGAAAGACAAAUCUUUUUUGAGGUUAACAGUGAGGUUUUCUUUUCUUUUUCUUUAUUUUUUUUCUGUGACGGAGUCUUGCUCUGUCUCCCAGGCUGGAGUCCAGAGGCGUGAUCGGCUCACUGCAACCUCCACCUCCCGGGUUCAAGCGAUUCCCCUGCCUCAGCUUCCCAAGUAGCUGGGACUACAGGCGCACGCCACUACGCUCAGCUAAUUUUUGUAUUUUUAGUAGAGGUGGUGUUGCAUCAUGUUGGCCAGGCUGGUCUUGAACUCCUGACCUCAGGUGAUCCACCCAACUCAGCCUCCCAAAGUGCUGGGAUUACAGGCGUGAGCCACUGCGCUUGGCCUUUUUUUUCUUUUUGACAGAGUCUUGCUCUGUCACCCGGGCUGGAGUGCAGUGGCACGAUCUUGGCUCACUGCAACCUCUGCCUCCCAGGUUCCAGUGAUUCUCCUGCCUCAGGCUCCCGAGUAGCUGGGAUUACAGGCGCACACCCCCACGCCAGGGUAAGUUUUGUUUUUUUAGUAGAGACAGGGUCUCACCAUAUUGGCCAACCUGGUCUCGAACUCCUAACCUCAUGAUCUGCCCUCCUUGGCCUCCCAAAGUGCUGGGAUUACAGGCAUGAGCCACUGUGCCUGGCCAAGAGCGGAGGUUUAAUAGGCGAAAGAAAGAGAAAAGCUCUCUGCUGCAGAGAGGGGUCCCAAGCAGGUCUUCCUGACAAACCUUUUUAAAGGAAAAAAUAAGAAUUACAUAAUGGUUUUGAAACAGUUAUCCUGGUUACAAAUAUCAGUAACAAAGGUGACACCAGUCUGAGGUUAGACAGGAAAUUAGUUGCUGGGCAGAUUUUUUUGCAGAAAUAUGUUUAUGUGUGGAAGACUACAAUGCCCAUUGUGGCUACACUGUAGUUUUUGUAGAGUCUUUUUUAUUAUCAGGCAUACAAGUGUGAAACUCUCUUCAUAGUCAUCCCUGGCUCUACUCAUCAGGGUUUUCUUAACAUUUGUGACUCCAUUUUGAUUCUGACAACUUUCACAAAAUUAAUACAAUUACUUUCUUGAGGAUGACAUAUAUAUAUGUAUAUCCUUCUGGCCAGGCGUGAGCUACUGCACUUGGCCUCAUUUUUUUUUUUGAAACGGAGUUUCGCUCUUUUUGCCCAGGCUGAAGUGCAAUGAUGCAAUCUUGGCUCACUACAUAACCUCCGCCUCCCAGGUUCAAGUGAUUCUCCCACCUUAGCGUCCCGUGUAGCUGGGAUUACAGGCACACGCCACCACGACCGGCUAAUUUUUGUAUUUUUAGUAGAGAUGGAGUUUCAUCAUGUUGCCCAGGCUGGUCUUGAACUGACAUCAGGUGAUCUGCUUACCUCGGUCUCCCAAAGUGUUGGGAUUACAGGCGCUACAGGCACGAACCACCGCGCCUAGCCUCUUUUUUUUUUCUCUGUCGCCCAGGCUGGAGUGCAGUGAUGCAAUCUCAGCUCACUGCAACCUUUACCUCCUGGGUUCAAGCGAUUCUCCUGCCUCAGCCUCCCAAGUAGCUGGGAUUACAGGUGCCCACGACCCUGCCCUACUAAUUUUCGUAUUUUUAGUAGAGAGAGGGUUUCACCCUGGUGACGGGUCUGAUCUCAAACUCCUGAUCUCAGGUAAUCCACUCACCUCAGCCUCCCAAAGUACUGGGAUUACAGGUGUGGACCACCGUGCCCAGCCUAUGCACAUUAAUUUAACUUAGAUGAAUGGACCAAUUCUUUGAAAACUAUAAACUACCUUGUUAUGGCUUGGAUGUUUUGUCUCCAAAUCUCAUGUUGAAAGUGAUCCCCAGUGUUGGAGGUGGGGCCUGGUGGGAGGGAUUUAGGUUAUGGGGGUGGAUUCCUCAUGAGGGGCUUGGUGCUUUCCCCACAGUAAUGAGUUCCUGCAAGAGCUGGUUGUUAAAAAGAGCCUGGAACUUUCUCUUCUCUCUCUUGCCAUGUGACACACUGGCUCCCCUUCACCAUUGGCCAUGGUUGUAAACUUCCUGAGGCCCUCACCUAGAAGCCUGCACAACUAUGAGCCAAAUACAUCUCUUUAUAACAGUCUCAGGUAUUCCUUUAUAGCAAUGCAGAACAAACUAAUACAGGAAGUUGGGAUGGAGGAGUGGGGGAUUGCUAUAAAGAUACCUGAAGAUGUGGAAGUGUGUCCGGAAUUGGUGGGUUCUUGCUCUCACUGACUUCAAGAAUGAAGCCACGGACCCUCGCGGUGAGUGUUACAGCUCUUAAGGUGGCGCGUCUGGAGUCUGCCCCUUCUGAUGUUCAGAUGUGUUUGGAGUUUCUUCCUUCUGGUGGGUUCGUGGUCUCGCUGGCUGAGGAGUGAAGCUACAGACCUUCACGGUUAGUGUUACAGCCCUUAAGGCAGCGCGUCUGGAGUCUUUCGUUCCUCCCGGUGGGCUCGUGGGCUCACUGGCUCCAGGAGUGAAGCUGCAGACCUUCACGGUGAGUGUUACAGCUCUUAAGGUAGCACGUCUGGAGUUGUUUGUUUCUCCCGGUGGGCUCGUGGUCUUGCUGGGUUCAGGAGUGAAACUGCAGAUCUUCGCGGUGAGUGUUACAGCUCAUAAAAGCAGCGUGGACCCAAAGACUGAGCAGUAGCAAGAUUUACUGCAAAGAGCGAAAGAACAAAGCAGCCACAAUGCGGA